CACGACAUCCGUGCCCAUAGAGAAUUCUAUCGGCUUCCAGAGAGUACCCUUCAGCUCGCAAAAGUCAGCAAACUCCUGAUAUCACUCGAAAAAGGAAGACUGCCUUACCUGCAGGGGAAAGGGCUGGAUGACAUUGAGGUCAAUCCUGAAGAUGAAGUAGAAAUGAGUGAUGAUUCCAGCGAAGAAAACGUUGCUGACCUACAUCAAUGCAAAGGCUCAAUAACUGAGACUGCCAGGGACCAGACACUUCUGAGGCAUACUCCUGAGUCAACCAGCCUGGACAACAUGGAGGGCACUUCCGAGUCAACCACCCUGGACAAUAUGGAGGGCACAUCUGAGUCAACCAGCCUGGACAAUAUGGAGGGCACUUCCGAGUCAACCACCCUGGACAACAUGGAGGGCACUCCUGAAUCAACCACCUUGGAUGACGUAAACAUGAGUCACAAAAUUGUCACAUCCCAAGCUUCUUCAAAGGGCUCCAAAAGAAAGCAAGCUGUGAAGGUGAGAAGCAAGUGGACGGGUGAGGAAGUGAAGGCUGUUGAGCGGCAUUUGCUUAACUUCAUUACAAGCUGCAGAAUACCUGGUAAAAAGGACUGUGACUCCUGCCUCCAGGCAGAGCCAGUAGCUCUGAAAGACCGAGACUGGGUUGCCAUCAGGUACUACGUACACAACAGAAACGUAGCAUUAAAAAGGAAGAUGACUAGGUAGAUCCAUUCCAAUUGAUCUUGUUUUUUGCUUGUAUUUUUUUUGCUGGCACUCAAUAAAAGUAAG
ensembl:lncRNA